rnacentral:rRNA from 1 species
AUUGAACGCUGGCGGCAGGCCUAACACAUGCAAGUCGAGCGGUGCGGCGGACGGUGGAGUAAUGACUAGGAAUGUGCCUGGUAGUGGGGGAUAACGUCCGGAAACGGGCGCUAAUACCGCAUACUAUGCGUUGAGCCUAAGUGGGAUUAGCUAGUUGGUGGGGUAAGGGCCUACCAAGGCGACGCACCGUAACUGGUCUGAGAGGAUGAUCAGGCACACUGGAACUGAGACACGGUCCAGACUCCUACGGGAGGCAGCAGUGGGGAAUAUUGGACAAUGGGCGAAAGCCUGAUCCAGCCAUGCCGCGUGUGUGAAGAAGGUCUUCGGAUUUUAAAGCAAUUUAAGUUGGGAGGCGUUACCAACAGAAUAAGCACCGGCUAACUUCGUGCCAGCAGCCGCGGUAAUUC